rnacentral:rRNA from 1 species
GAUGAACGCUGGCGGCGUGCCUAACACAUGCAAGUCGAGCGGCAGCGCGAGUAGUUUACUACUUGGCGGCGAGCGGCGGACGGCUGAGUAACGCGUAGGAAUGUGCCCCAAAGUGAGGGAUAAGCACCGGAAACGGUGUCUAAUACCGCAUAUGGUCUUCGGAUUAAAGCUUCGGCGCUUUGGGAACAGCCUGCGUCCGAUUAGGUUGUUGGUGAGGUAAUAGCUCACCAAGCCGACGAUCGGUAGCUGGUCUGAGAGGAUGAUCAGCCAGACUGGAACUGAGACACGGUCCAGACUCCUACGGAAGGCAGCAGUGAGGAAUCUUCCACAAUGGGGGCAACCCUGAUGGAGCAACGCCGCGUGCAGGAUGAAGGCCUUCGGGUCGUAAACUGCUUUUAUUAGUGAAGAAUAUGACGGUAACUAAUGAAUAAGGAUCGGCUAACUACGUG